GCCAGUGUGGUAUAGUGGUUUGAGUGCUGGACUACAACUUUGGAGACCAAGGUUCAAUUCCCUGCUUAGCCA